CAUUGUUAUGUUCAAAACCGCCCAAGCAUUUCUCAAGCGAGACGUGGCAGAACACGGUUUAAUUGGCAGAGGUGACGGCGGUAAAUUGAAAUCCUAAAUCAAUUUACGUCGAUUUAGGAUUUUACAGCUAGGAUUGCUGCUCUCUUGAGUCCUCUCAAUACGGCUCUCAGCAUCGCCAAAUAAACAUCCCAUGAUGCAUUCUGCUGUACAAGCCCCAUAUAGCCUUAUAGAGGAAGGGGAAUCCACACAAAUUGUUUGAUCAACUCCUCAAGAGUAGUGGGGGGAAGGAGACAGAGGUUUGGCAGGGAGGAGGAGGAGGAGGAGGAGGAGGAGGAGGAGGCGGAGGAGGAGGAGGAAGAGGUGGAGGAGGAGGAGGAGGAGGAGGAGGAGAAAACCAGGAUGACGGAGAGAACAUGCCCUGAGUGUUGGCCCCUGCUCCCCAACAACAGGUGUAUAAGGGCCCCUCUCCACAGCCUGGCCCCCUCAAAGCCUUUCCAAGUGAAUAAAGGGCGACCAGGGUUUACACUCAACACUGGGUUCCUCGCUCUCGCACUCUCUGUCUCCUCCUAUCAGCCGUCUCUAGGGCAGCCUCCCCGUGGGGGGGUAGGGGAGAUGGGAGCCAGGGGGUAACGUGGCGGCCAUGCUCUGAUCUGACGGUGCCUGUGAAGAUCUGAGGGGAGGUUCCAGCCGUAUGGCCGCAGCGCAGCCACUUCCUGCUUUAAACACACACACACACACACACACACACACACACACACACACACACACACACACACACACACACACACACACACACACACACACACACACACACACACACACACACAGAUUGACACACAUACACAGACAGCCACAGACACACAUACAUUCAGUCACACACACACACACAUUAACAGACAAACGCACAUAGACACACAUAGUCAGACACGCACACACACACACACACAAACACACACACACAAAAACAGACAGACAAACACAAAUACAGACCAACACACAUAGACAAAUGUCCAGUCAGACACACACACACACACACACACACACACACACACACACACACCAACACCAGCACACGCACACAGAUAGACACAUAAACACAGACACACACAGAUAGACACAUAACAGAGACAGACAAAAACACAUAGACACACAUACAGUCAGUCAAACACACACACACACACACACACACACACACACACACACACACACACACACACACACACACACACACACACACACACACACACACACACACACACACACACACACACACAUUAACAGACAAA